UCAAGAUCCUCAGCCAACCAUUGGAUCAAUUAUUUGAUUGUUUCUUUUAUGCUUCACAUGUUUAAAUAUCAUGCACCCAUUUAGUUAUAGGUUGGGUAAUUAGAAAUUAUAUUACACUUCAAAAUAUAAUAAACCAAAAGGGACAAUGAAGGAAAGAAUACAGCUGGUCUCGGCCAGCCAUUUUGUGUGCCAAAACACAUCUACAGCCACUUCUUUUCCCAGCCUUCAUUGGUUGAUUUUAAGACUCCAUCUUUCCAACCAACUUAUAAUUAAUACUCUCUUAACUUCAACUCAACAACUCCCCUAAGCCUCUUUACGUGACAUUUAUUAGGAUCAGAUUGUCUUUAUAUUUAACUUCUCAAGGCAUCACCUUGAAUCAAGUUGUCGCCUUAAUCAGCCAUAUUUCCCAUUUCUUCUUCGAUUGAAAUUUUCUUUCUUAUUUCCAUCCUUUCAAACAAGGUACACCAAACACUUACCAUAUAUCAUAUUCGGAAUUUCUUAAGUUACAAAAACACAAGGAAUUGGAAAUCGCUUAUAGGUAAACCAUAACCACUGUGAUGAUUCAGAGAACUCGACACAAACACACCACACAAAAAAAAAACUACCCUCUGCACCUCGCCGAAAAACGCAGACGUCGCCGGAGGACACAAGUACGUCGCCGGGACUCACCGGAGACCUACGUACAUCAACGGAGUCACCUCCUCCCGUUUGUUUCACGCGGGUUCUCGCCGGAAACCAAACGAAGGACUACGGACAUCGCGACAGGGAGCAUUUCAACUCGUAACGUCACCGAAGCCGUACGGGGUUCACAACGGGAAUCCUCUCAUCAUCAUUCGGAUAAUCACUCUCAUCCGUUCGGUUUCCCUAUCUUUUCCUCGCGCGUUAUUUCAAGGAAUCUCCAUACGCAAACACUGUUGAUGAUGAUGAAAUGAAAGAGGUAGCACGAUGCCUAGAUACACACUUUAGACG